AACAAUGAAUCCUGAGCACAGGCCACGAAAAGCCGACUCAUCCGAAAGGUAGCGGUUUCUUGAAGAGGUUGUGGAGUUUGCAUCAGAAGCCUUCUGGGUUGUUGAAGUUCCAGGUCUCGGCCACAGAGCCUCGUAGUCUGACGCGUUGCAGACUUAGGAGUUUUGAAAGUUUCAGGCACUGAUAAAGUUUCCGAGGUUAUUGACGAGGUUCCGCUGGUUGAUCGAGGGGAUUCCAGGGGUUAAUGAGGAGUUUCACAGAUGUUUGAGAUUUCAUGGGCUGAUCGGGGAGUUUAAAGUUUUCAGCCACUCCAGGGGAGUUGGUUGUCAGUGGGAUCAGCAGCACUAUCGACCAUCUGCUACUCCACUCAUUUAUACUUACACUCCGAUGAUAUUGUCAGACUCACAAUGGACAAUGGACAGUUUAAAAAAAAAGAUGCAGCAAAUCCAGAGAUACCGGCUUUUUUACUCAACGCAUUCUGCUUUCUUGUCGAAACCUGGCGCCUACAUUGCCCACAAUGCACCUGUUCCUCUGAGAGUUGGGUGCUAGAUUGGGGUGCGUUACACUAGUAGCGUCUAAUGUAGCUUGCAGCCUGUAGCCUGCAGCAGCGAUGAGGAGCGGGCUGCAGAGGUUUGCUAAGCAACACCUGGAAACCACACGGUCGUUCAUCGAUCUGAUCAACAACUAAACUGAGUUGAGGUCAUGUUUCCGUCGCCAGUAAUAUGUGAAAACACAGCAGGGAAACACGGUGGUUGACUUCUUACGAUAACAUUUUGGCUUUUACUUUGAAAUGAACUCCAAACUCAGAGCAGCAGUCUCUUAUUUUCUCAAAGACACAUUCAAACAAAGCUUUAUUCGAACUGCACUCUCACAUUCACCCUCUUAUAUUUUGAAAUCCCGUUUUCCGUCAGUCAGUGUAACAGAGUCUUUACCGUGAAGCUCUGUCAGCUCAGAGGUCAUGCUCAGUGGUGACAUCGGCAGUGACGUCAUGACACUCUUCAACACGCUGGGUCAUCUCCACGGAGACGGCCGGUCUAGUUCCUGUGGGCGGAGCGAAGAAGUUCAGGCGGAGGUAUAAAAUUUCGUUAUUGAAGUUUGUGCGUGUGUUAGCUACCUGUCUUCCUGCUGCAGCAGCUCGACACCAUCGGGACGCUGCAGAUGCAGUACGGACAGAUGACCACUAGAUGGCAGAGGAGUCUGAGUACAGACACAGAGGGAGGAGGGGAGGUGUAGACGGAGAACAGGUUGCAGGAGGAGGAUCAGUAGGAGGAGCUGUGGACAGGUGGCGAAACCGAAAGGUGAGUUAAAGAUAAACAGGAAGAUCUAGUCUUGUUACAGAAUCGGGACAAAUUUCUAUUUCACAACACGUAUGAGUCCGUUAGCAUAACCAGACGCACACCUGGGAGUCUGUCGUUGUCUCUACCUGGACCGUAUAACCACAGCAUUUUAACAGAAACAAGCAUUUUGGUGAGCAGAAGUCGAAGGCGUCCUCACCUGCUAUCGAACUCCACAGCAUAGCAGCUGUAGACACCUUCGUGAGACUCUUGGACAUCACUGCCGGUGAAUUCCGGGGGGGGGAUCUAGAACCCACCCUGUACGUCGCGUGACGGGACCUGAACUGUGAAGUCACAUCAUUUCCUGGCAUCACGGGCAGAGCAGGGAUCUCCAGGACCACAUGGUCUGAACAACAGAAGGACAGGACACACAAACAGAGCCACAGGGUUAUUCUGGAACCAUGUUGGACUUACUGAUGUGGACUCUUUGAGCUGGACUGCUACCGGCGCAGUGACCCGGUUUACCUGACGUAGAAGCUGCGGUUGGCUCUCAAACUCCCGGACGAGCUGUUCAUCAUCUGCUCCCUCAGGUCGUGGAUCUUCGCUUCAAAACGACUGUACUCUGCACACAAUAUCACCAUGUCUGUCCGGCGUUCUUCAGAGCUGCUGCUGCCUGUUCAUGUGUCGCAUACCUGAGGUCCACGCCGUUCACCUGGACACACACACACGGAGAAACAGACAGAAUAUCUGACUGCCUUCCACGUGAGCGGCCUCCAGCUUGGCACCGGCAUAUCGGGACGCUUCAUGUCACGCUACUGGAUCCUUUUGAAUGUUCACCUAAUCUGGAAAUAAUCAGCGUUACAUCCAGACAGCUGAAGUGAUACAACAGCACUUCUGAACACUUCAGGUGUCAGAUCCUCGGUGGAUGUAAAGAUCCGAUGUCCUGCACUCACACUGAGGAUCCGGUCUCCUGUACUCACACUGAGGAUCUGGUCUCCCUUCCGGAGCUCUCCGCUCAGGUCUGCUGGUCCUCCUGCGAGGAUGAAGGAGAUGAAGAUUCCCUCUCCGUCCUCUCCGCCGACGAUGUUGAAGCCCAGACCGGUAGACCCACGCUGCACACAGACUCUGCGAGGCUCCCGGGAGUAGUCGUCCUCUCCCAUCAUGCCACGGG